UACGGAGGGGGCAAGCGUUGUCCGGAUUUAUUGGGCGUAAAGAGCGUGUAGGCGGCCAGACAGGUCCGUUGUGAAAACUCGAGGCUCAACCUCGAGACGCCGAUGGAAACCGUCUGGCUAGAGUCCGGAAGAGGAGAGUGGAAUUCCUGGUGUAGCGGUGAAAUGCGCAGAUAUCAGGAAGAACACCCGUGGCUAAGGCGGCUCUCUAGUACGGUACUGACGCUGAGACGCGAGAGCGUGGGGAGCGAACAGG
rnacentral:rRNA from 1 species